UCCGAAUUGGUGUAGUGGCUAACAUUUGACGCUCUCAUGGUACGGUGCCGUCAAGCCCGGGGUUCGAUUCCCCGAUUCGGAG